rnacentral:rRNA from 1 species
CCUACGGGAGGCAGCAGUGGGGAAUAUUGCACAAUGGGGGAAACCCUGAUGCAGCGACGCCGCGUGAGUGAAGAAGUAUUUCGGUAUGUAAAGCUCUAUCAGCAGGGAAGAAGAAAGACGGUACCUGACUAAGAAGCCACGGCUAAAUACGUGCCAGCAGCCGCGGUCAUACGGAGGGGGCAAGCGUUAUCCGGAUUUACUGGGGGUAAAGGGAGCGUAGACGGGUGUGCAAGUCUGAAGUGAAAGCCCAGGGCUCAACCCUGGGACUGCUUUGGAAACUGUGGAGCUAGAGUGCUGGAGAGGUAAGUGGAAGUCGUGGUGUAGCGGUGAAAUGCGUAGAUAUUAGGAGGAACACCGGUGGCGAAGGCAGCUUACUGGACAGUAACUGACGUUGAGGCUCGAAAGCGUGGGGAGCAAACAGGAUUAGAUACCCGUGUAGUC